AUAUCAUUUUUUUAAAUUGUUCCGAAAUAAAACAAGAAUGCUGCGAGUCUAAAACGUAUGAUAUGCAAAUUAUAAACAAAGGAUUAUCUGAAGAAACGGUAAUUCUAAAUUUUAACAUAUUGAAAUUUUUGACUAUCAAAUUAAAUAGCAGCAAAGAACAGAAAAGUAUAACAUACAAUGGUAAAGAAUAUUUAAAGGUACAUGCAAGUUUGAAUAUUAAUAAUGAUCAUAGUUUGUCUAGAUUGUUAAGUAAAGUAUAUAAGGUUGAGUAUGAGGACAUGUUAACAGACGAGUGUGUGCAAUACUAUUAUAAUAAUCAUAUUAAGUUUUACAAUUAUAUAUGUGAUUAUUAUAAAAAUAGGAUUUGUAUAGAAUAUGAAAAGGAGUGUUGUGAAAAGGAGUGUUGUGAAAAGGAUGUAGAUGAAAAGGAUGAGAAGAAGAAAGCAAAAAAUGCUCGUAUUCACAUGUAUAAAAUAAAAAUACCAGCAAAAUGUUUUAUUUCGUUGUAUCUUCAAUGUUAUUAUAAUAAAGUUUUAUAUAAAGAAAUAAAAUUUAAUGAUUUACUUUUACAUAACAAAUUAAUGUAUGAAAAAUCAAAUGAAUUAUUGACCAUUAAUUUGACUAAUAGUUAUUUAACUGUAGCACCAUCUUAUCUUUAUUUUAGUAACCUAUUACCCAUUAACUCUAAUAAAUUAUUUAUAACUUAUUUUACAACAGAAAAGGUUAAAAAAAUAAAAGUGAAGAAUGUUUCAGAUGUAAAUGUGGAUUGGUGCAUAUUUGUUUCUAAUGAUAAACAAAAUGGACAGAGUUCGUAUUUGGUUGAUAAGGAGGUGGAACAGAUGAAUGGAAUGGAAACAGAGAAAAUACGAAUGACCAAAACUUCAAAAGAUAUACAUUAUAAGCAGGAUAUAAGUAAAAGAGAUGGCACUGAUAAAAGUAGUGGUAAACGUUUGGGAGCUAAAGAUGUUACCACUAAAGCUGUUACGACUAAAGAUGUUACCACUAAGCACGUUAGAGCAAAACUGGUUGAAUCGGACAAAGUCAAAGCGAACCAAACUUGGGGUAACGAAACUAGGAAUAUCCAACUCCCAAGUGGUAAUAAUAAAUACGAAAUCGAAAUCGAAAACGAAAAUACUUAUGAUGUUCUAAAACCAAACGAAGAAAAGGAAGUUGAAAUAAAAAUAAAAAAUGUUGUUUCAUGUGGUAACUAUGUAGAUAUACUUUCUAUAACAGCAUCAGUUGCAAAAGACAGUUUGUUAACAAAUGAACAGAUGAGGGGGGAUGGGGAUGGGGAUGGGGACGGGGACCCUGAUGCUACUACUUGUCCGGAAAAAAUAACAAAAAAACUUUAUACAAUUUACAUGCUUAUACAAUGUCAAACACCUAAGUUACAAUUCGACAUAACAUAUAUAAAUAUAAUACAUAACAAACUGAAUAGUAUGUUCAGCUUCCCAUUUUACAUUUAUAACAUAGGUUAUGAGUAUAUUCGAAUUAGUUAUCAUUUUAGUAAUUUGUAUAAGGAUUUUUUUUUUUUAUCUUUAGAUUUUCCUGACGGUUACGAAGUGCAUGAAAAAAAAACAAAAAAAAUAAAAGUUUGUUUAAAUUGUAAGUCCAGUGCAAAUAUCAUCUUCAAAUCACAGCUAAUAAUACAUGUAUUAGAUUAUGAUAAAUAUGUUAUACCAGUGUAUAUAAAUAUAAAUGAGAAUAUAGAUUAUUUGUUGGAUAAGGCACAAAAAGAAAAACAAAGACCACUGUUAGUUAAUGAACGUUGUUCUUCUUUCUUAUAUUUUGAUAAACAUUUAAAAAAUAAUAAUAAUUCUGACGACAUCAAUUCGUCGGGUGGAAUUAAAAAUGGAACAGACAUAGAGAUAGAGAAGCAUCCUACAUGGGGGGGAGAAGAUGAGAUAAGCGAAAUAAAUGAUAACAGUAGUAAAACUGGUACGGUUUGUGUCGACAACAUGGAAAGCAGUAGUAGCGGUAGCAGUAGCGAUAGGAGUAGCGAUAGGGGUAGCGAUAGGGGUAGCGAUAGGAGUAGCGAUAGGAGUAGCGAUAGGGGUAGCGAUAGGAGUAGCGAUAGCAUUAGCGAUAGGAGUAGCGAUAGGAGUAGCGAUAGCAUUAGCGAUAGUAGUAUAACCAAACAAACAAGUAAAGAUAAAACACAAUGUAAGAAAAAAAAUAAAAAAAAAGAACAUGUUGCAACAAAUAGUAGAAACGAUGUACAUCUUUCAGAUUCUAGCUGUUCCCGAAAAUACAAUUCUAUAUUUUAUUUUUACCGUAAUAACAUAUGUAAAGAAAGUAAUACAAAUAGAGGUUUAAGCUUAAGUACGAACACGCGCACAAGUUCCUGUAUAUAUAAACUUUUACAAAUUAAAAACAUUAAAAAUGUGUAUUAUAAUAAGAAACACGAGCUAUUCGAACUAAGAAACAUAACUAAUGAUUAUAUCUUUAUAUUUAUUCAAAAUGUUAUAUUAAAUAAAAAUUAUAUACCAACUGUUGUUGAAAAUACAAAUGAUUUAUUUAUAUUUUUUAUUAACAUAUUAAUGGACUUUUUUGUGUUAUACCCUAAUAAAAAUAUACAAAAUUCUAUAAACGAAAUCAAAAAUAAUCAAAAUGUUUGUGUAACGAGUUUGAAGCAAGAUGUUUUGCCCUAUGAAAAUAUUCUUACUAACAUUAAGGCUAUGAUGACGCAUUUGAAGGAGGAAAAACUGCUAGUGGACCAUAUAAUUUACGAAAGCCUACUUCCAGAGAAGCUCUAUUUUUACUACUUGUUAGACCAUAUACCUGAAUACUUUCACGUAAAAAAAAAAAAAAAAAAUAAAAAGUCUAACGAAAGUGAUUGCCUAAACGCUGAACACAUUGAAAAUUUUUUAAAAAAUGGAAAAGAUAAGAUAUUUUAUUUUGACCGCAUCUUAAAAACACAUUUAGCACUAUUCACAUACUCAUGGGUGACUAUAUUUCUAGAGUCUUUAACUGUAAAACUAUUUCAUUUAGUUAAUAUAAAAUCUUUAUCGAAAUUAAAAGGUAUUAAGUUAUGUAAUAUUGAAAACCAAAUGUAUGAGAAUAUAAAAAUCUAUCGAGUCCAUUAUUUAAUUAUUUUAAAUAAACAGGAUAAAGAAUUAAAUAGUAGGCAUAAUACGUCUAUUUUCGAAGAUGAUGAAAAACAAAAAAAUAAAAAAGAACAAUCUAAAAGAAACAUAGAAAAUAAAAACAUAGCUAAUAGAAACUUAAUAAAAAAUAAAAAUGUAUACACUACUACAAGUGAAAACAUGAAGAACAAAAGUAUGUCUAAUAAAAUAAUUAAUGGAAGAAAACAAAAAAAAAACAUUAAUAGUGCACUUAAAACGAAUGUAAAAACAAAAUUGCAUGAUUAUAAUACAUGUGCAAACAAAACAGAACAUCAAAGAUUAGGUGGACGCCAUAAUAAAAACGAAUUGGACACGUUAAAUUAUUUUAAUUUUUACGAAAAUAAUUUUAUUAAUUUAAAAAAAAUUUUAAAUAAAAUUAAUACCAACGAUUCUGAGAAAUUGGAAGAACAAGAUUGUAGUCCAAUCAUGUUGGAAAAAAAGAGAGAACAAAAU
rnacentral:lncRNA from 1 species